UGUGGGUUUCACCACCUAAACUUAUGUUACCCUUGAUGUUGUGUCUUUCUCUUUAAUAGGAAGGGACACUCCUAACUAUCGAAUUCAUGCGAUUGGAACUGGUUCAAAUGCCACCCCUAUGUAUGAAUGACCCAUCAUGGGAGCAUGCAAGUGACUCCGUACCUUCAUCCAGUUGUAUCUUCAUUCAUACGUGCACCUUCGUUCCAAGUGCAGUUCGAGCGAGUUUACCUUGAAUCAUUUGAUCCCGAAGAGGCAUAGACAAGGAUAAAGGCAAUAAUUAGACCCACAAAGAGAGAGUCGGUUAUGAAUCUACCAUAGCUACGAUGUCUCAAUCCUGAUCUACACUUGCACCUACCCUUGUCUUUCUUAGUACAGGCCUAAAGAAACUAAAGGGUUGUUUCUCGAAAUGGAAGGUAUGCAGCUGGUAUAAGAACUGCAACUGGUAGGUAUUUUUGGAUGGCGAAGCAACUGGAGCUAGAGAUAGAGAAUUCAACUAUGAGAUUCGUCAUUUUUUUGUACUUCAUUCUCAUAUGCAUUGUUUUCUUUUAUGAUGCAUCAUUUUAAUUAUUCCCACGGCUUGUGUGGGACAUUAUAUCUUUAACAUUUAUGAAUAAAGAAAACAAUAUUUUGAUAUUUAAAGCUAUGUAAUUUUCUUCUCUUUCAAAUACUUUCA